AACGUAGGAGACGAGCGUUCUCCGGAAUUACUGGGCGUAAAGCGCGUGUAGGCGGAAGUGUAAGACUUUUGUGAAAGCUCCUGGCUAAACCGGGAGAGGUCGAAAGAUACUGCACAUCUGGAGUAUGGGAGAGGGGUGUCGAAUACCGGGUGUAGUGGUGAAACGCGUAGAUCUCCGGUGGAACACCAGUGGCGAAGGCCGCACCCUGGCCCAAUUCUGACCCUAAGACGCGAAAGCAUGGGGAGCGAACGGG
rnacentral:rRNA from 1 species